rnacentral:rRNA from 1 species
UUAAUAAUUUAUAUAAAAUAUUUUGAAUAUUUAUAUAACAUUAACAUAAUUCAUAUUACUAUAUUUUUUAGUAUAUGAAAUUUUACUUUGAGAAAAUUAGAGUGCUUAAAGCAGGCAUAUGCCUUGAAUACUCCAGCAUGGAAUAAUAUUAAAGAUUUUUAUCUUUCUUAUUGGUUCUAAGAUAAGAAUAAUGAUUAAUAGGGACAGUUGGGGGCAUUUGUAUUUAACAGUCAGAGGUGAAAUUCUUAGAUUUGUUAAAGACAAACUAAUGCGAAAGCAUUUGCCAAGGAUGUUUUCAUUAAUCAAGAACGAAAGUUAGGGGAUCGAAGACGAUCAGAUACCGUCGUAGUCUUAACCAUAAACUAUGCCAACUAGAGAUUGGAGGUUGUU